AGCAGCCGCGGUAAUUCCAGCUCCAAUAGCGUAUAUUAAAGUUGUUGCAGUUAAAAAGCUCGUAGUUGAAUUUCGGAAUCAAUAUAUCGGUCGUGCCUUGGUACGUACUGGUAUCAUUGGUUUCUCCUUUCUGACGAACCAUGAUGUCAUUAAUUUGGUGUUAUGGGAAGUUAGGACUGUUACUUUGAAAAAAUUAGAGUGUUUAAAGCAGGCUUUAGCUUGAAUACAUUAGCAUGGAAUAAUGAAAUAGGACGUUCGAACCUAUUUUGUUGGUUUCUAGGAUCAACGUAAUGAUUAAUAGGGAUAGUUGGGGGCAUUAGUAUUCAAUUGUCAGAGGUGAAAUUCUUGGAUUUAUUGAAGACUAACUACUGCGAAAGCAUUUGCCAAGGAUGUUUUCAUUAAUCAAGAACGAAAGUUAGGGGAUCGAAGACGAUCAGAUACCGUCGUAGU
rnacentral:rRNA from 1 species